rnacentral:rRNA from 1 species
UGCUUUUUUCUCCCCGGGUAAAAAUCUACAUAUCAAUAAGCGGAGGAAAAGAAACCAACAGGGAUUGCCCUAGUAACGGCGAGUGAAGCGGCAACAGCUCAAAUUUGAAAUCUGGCGUCUUUGGCGUCCGAGUUGUAAUUUGCAGAGGGCGCUUUGGCAUUGGCAGCGGUCCAAGUUCCUUGGAACAGGACGUCACAGAGGGUGAGAAUCCCGUACGUGGUCGCUAGCCUUUACCGUGUAAAGCCCCUUCGACGAGUCGAGUUGUUUGGGAAUGCAGCUCUAAAUGGGAGGUAAAUUUCUUCUAAAGCUAAAUACUGGCCAGAGACCGAUAGCGCACAAGUAGAGUGAUCGAAAGAUGAAAAGCACUUUGGAAAGAGAGUUAAAAAGCACGUGAAAUUGUUGAAAGGGAAGCGCUUGCAGCCAGACUUGCCUGUAGUUGCUCAUCCGGGUUUUUACCCGGUGCACUCUUCUAUAGGCAGGCCAGCAUCAGUUUGGGCGGUUGGAUAAAGGUCUCUGUCACGUACCUCCUCUCGGGGAGAACUUAUAGGGGAGACGUAAUGCAACCAGCCUGGACUGAGGUCCGCGCAUCUGCUAGGAUGCUGGCGUAAUGGCUGUAAGCGGCCCGUCUUGAAACACGGACCAAGGAGUCUAACAUCUAUGCGAGUGUUUGGGUGUCAAGCCCGAGCGCGUAAUGAAAGUGAACGGAGGUGGGAACCUUUCGGGGUGCACCAUCGACCGAUCCUGAUGUCUUCGGAUGGAUUUGAGUAAGAGCAUAGCUGUUGGGACCCGAAAGAUGGUGAACUAUGCUUGAAUAGGGUGAAGCCAGAGGAAACUCUGGUGGAGGCUCGCAGCGGUUCUGACGUGCAAAUCGAUCGUCAAAUUUGGGCAUAGGGGCGAAAGACUAAUCGAACUAUCUAGUAGCUGGUUCCUGCGUCUUCUCUCCCCCCCCGUAGAGAGGAAA